UGGCGGACGGGUGAGUAACGCGUGGGUAACCUGCCUUGUACUGGGGGACGAACAGUUGGAAACGACUGCUAAUACCGCAUAAGCGCACAGCUUCGCAUGAAGCAGUGUGAAAAACUACCGGUGGUACAAGAUGGACCCGCGUCUGAUUAGCUGGUUGGUGAGGUAACGGCCCACCAAGGCGACGAUCAGUAGUCGGCCUGAGAGGGUGAACGGCCACAUUGGGACUGAGACACGGCCCAAACUCCUACGGGAGGCAGCAUG
rnacentral:rRNA from 1 species